rnacentral:rRNA from 1 species
UACGUAGGGUGCAAGCGUUAAUCGGAAUUACUGGGCGUAAAGCGUGCGCAGGCGGUUUUGUAAGUUUGUCGUGAAAGCCCCGGGCUCAACCUGGGAAUUGCGAUGAAGACUGCAAGGCUUGAAUCUGGCAGAGGGGGUAGAAUUCCGCGUGUAGCAGUGAAAUGCGUAGAGAUGUGGAGGAACACCGAUGGCGAAGGCAGCCCCUGGGUCAAGAUUGACGCUCAUGCACGAAAGCGUGGGAGCAAACAGG